CCCUUAGAUGGUCUGGGCCGCACGCGCGCUACACUGAUGCAUUCAACGAGCCUAUCCUUGACCGACAGGUCCGGGUAAUCUUUGAAUCUGCAUCGUGACGGGGAUAGAUUAUUGCAAUUAUUAAUCUUCAACGAGGAAUGCCUAGUAGGCGCAAGUCAUCAGCUUGCGUCGAUUACGUCCCUGCCCUUUGUACACACCGCCCGUCGCUCCUACCGAUUGGGUGUGCUGGUGAAAUGUUCGGAUCGGCCGUUUGUCGCGGUUUCCGCGGCUCGUGGCUGAGAAGUUCAUUAAACCCUCCCACCGAGAGGAAGGAGAAGUCGUAACA
rnacentral:rRNA from 1 species